rnacentral:tRNA from 1 species
GCCGCCUUAGCUCAGUUGGUAGAGCAGCUCACUCGUAAUGAGCAGGUCGUCAGUUCGAAUCUGACAGGUGGCUCCA